rnacentral:antisense_RNA from 1 species
UUCAAUGGCGAUUCAGGCAGGGGAGGCUUCGGCCUCGCUGGAAGGUAGCUCCCAGUAGUGCUAACCCUGUCUGAAUUGCCACCAUC